rnacentral:rRNA from 1 species
AAGACCUUGCACUUUUGGAGCGGCCGAUGUCUGAUUAGCUAGUUGGUGGGGUAAUGGCCUACCAAAGCUUCGAUCAGUAGCUGGUCUGAGAGGACGGCCAGCCACACUGGGACUGAGACACGGCCCAGACUCCUACGGGAGGCAGCAGUGGGGAAUUUUGGACAAUGGGCGCAAGCCUGAUCCAGCCAUGCCGCGUGAGUGAAGAAGGCCUUCGGGUUGUAAAGCUCUUUCAGCCGGGAAGAAAAGGUUGCGACUAAUAAUCGCAAUUCAUGACGGUACCGAAAGAAGAAGCACCGGCUAACUACGUGCCAGCAGCCGCGGUAAUACAUAGGAUGCGAGCGUUAAUCGGAAUUACUGGGCGUAAAGGGUGCGCAGGCGGUUUUGUAAGUCAGAUGUGAAAUCCCCGGGCUUAACCUGGGAACU